rnacentral:misc_RNA from 1 species
AACUUUUGGCAACGGAUCACUUGGCUCUCGCAUCGAUGAAGGACGCAGCGAAAUGCGUUAAGUAAUGUGAAUUGCAGAAUUCAGUGAAUCAUCGAAUCUUUGAACGCCCCUUGCGCUCCUUGGUAUUCCGAGGGGCAUGCCUGUUUGAGUGUCAUUAAAUUCUCAACCUCUCAGGUUGUUAGUUAAAUCUGUGAGGCUUGGAUUGUGGGGGUUGCAGGCUUCUUCAGAAGUUAGCUCUCCUUAAAUGCAUUAGUGGAAACCUUAUGUUGACCAUCCUUCGGUGUGAUAAUUAUCUGCGCCAUGGAUAAGACAGAGGAUUUUGCUUAUAACCGUCCUAAUGGACAACUAUUGACAUUUUGACCUCAAAUCAGGUAGGACUACCCGCUGAACUUAAGCAUAUCAAUAAGCGGAGGCU